UACAGAGGUCUCAAGCGUUGUUCGGAUUCAUUGGGCGUAAAGGGUGCGUAGGCGGCUCGGUAAGUCGGGUGUGAAAUCUCGGAGCUUAACUCCGAAACUGCAUUCGAUACUGCCGUGCUUGAGGACUGGAGAGGAAAGCGGAAUUCCUGGUGUAGCGGUGAAAUGCGUAGAUAUCAGGAGGAACACCGGUGGUGUAGACGGCUUUCUGGACAAUCACUGACGCUGAGGUACGAAAGCGUGGGUAGCAAACAGG
rnacentral:rRNA from 1 species